rnacentral:rRNA from 1 species
UGGGGAAUAUUGGACAAUGGGCGAAAGCCUGAUCCAGCCAUGCCGCGUGUGUGAAGAAGGCCUUUUGGUUGUAAAGCACUCUAAGCGAGGAGGAGGCUACUUAGAUUAAUACUCUAGGAUAGUGGACGUUACUCGCAGAAUAAGCACCGGCUAACUCUGUGCCAGCAGCCGCGGUAAUACAGAGGGUGCGAGCGUUAAUCGGAUUUACUGGGCGUAAAGCGUGCGUAGGCGGCUUUUUAAGUCGGAUGUGAAAUCCCUGAGCUUAACUUAGGAAUUGCAUUCGAUACUGGGAAGCUAGAGUAUGGGAGAGGAUGGUAGAAUUCCAGGUGUAGCGGUGAAAUGCGUAGAGAUCUGGAGGAAUACCGAUGGCGAAGGCAGCCAUCUGGCCUAAUACUGACGCUGAGGUACGAAAGCAUGGGGAGCAAACAGG